UCUCUCUCUCUCGAGCUCAUGGUCUCUCUUGCGGUUUGCUCUCUGCUCUCAACAUGAACGAUAACAGAACCACUCCUCAACGGAAGUUUCACGGCGGCCAUGGAAGAGAGUUGCUCAAACUAUUACUCGAAUUCACAGACAGAACUGAAAACCAGACUCAAACACGCACAAGAACCGGAAACCAGCAAAAGUAACAAUUCCGUGCGGUUAUUGUUUUUACAGAAAAAUAAAGUCCACAGCAAUAUUGUUGAGAAUAAGCAGCGAGGAAUUGGUUUACCUGCGGCGAGGAGGAUUUCGCCGGUUUUAAUUGCUAAGGUGUGCUUCGUGUAGGUGAGCAAGAACCGUCGGGUGCCGUGUUGAAGAUGAUGUGGGGGCUGCCACUGAAGUUCAAAGGCUUUUGAUGAAGGUGAUGCCAUAACACCUCUCUUUUUGGAUUUAUGGGAUACUUGAAGUUCAACUUCAAGUGGUUGGAAGCUUGAAGAUGAAGAUCUUCAAGUAAGGUAUGAAGAACUACCUUCUCCUCUUUCCUUACUUUGGAACUAAGAAACUUUACAAUUAUGAGAGAAGUGAGAAAGCAAGUAGUUAAGGUUGCUUUGGUGUCCUUUGCUUCAAAGAGAUCAUUUCCUAUUUAUAGGCAAAGCUUAGGAUGUGUUAGGAAUUAGGAAACUUGAUUGGAAUGUUAUGGUCAUUGCAAGAAUAGGAAUAUAUUCUUCAUCAUUGCAAGAAUAAGAAUAAGAAUAUAUUCUUCAUCAUUGCAAGAAUAAGAAUAAGAAUAAGAAUAUAUUCCUUAUGUCAUUAUGCAAAGAUAUUCUCAUGAUAUAAGCCAUGUGUGUAAAUUUUUAUGUCAUUUUAUGAUAUCUCUAAGUUGCAUAAUUUUAUGACAUAAAAAUCUCUCUUUGACAUUCUUUGACUUUUGCUAAUUUCACCCCUCUUUUUGUUUCUUUUUUCAUGUUGCAUGAGGACCUUUGAAGAAAGAAUGAAGAAAUUUGAACUUGAAGAAUGAAGACUUUGAAGAAUGAAGAAUUCAAGAAAGUCUUUGAAGUUUUUUUUUCUUUUUUCUUGUAAUUCAUUCCAACUUGAAAAUGUAUGAACUUUGUAUUCUUGAAAUGAUGUAAUUCUUGAACUUUAGAUAAAGUUCCUUUUGUAAUCCAUGUGUAACUUAGAACUUGUUUUAUGUAAAAGAAUUCCAUUUGGAAAUAUUCUUUUAGAAUCUUGAAUGAAAUUGUAUGGAACUUGAAUA